rnacentral:rRNA from 1 species
UAGCUGGCCGGACAAGUCUGUUGGGAAAUCCACGCGCUCAACGCGUGGGCGUCCAGCGGAAACUGUCUGGCUUGGGGCUGGAGGACUCGAGGGGUACGUCCGGGGUAGGAGUGAAAUCCCGUAAUCCUGGACGGACCACCGGUAGCGAAAGCGCCUCGAGAGGACGGACCCGACAGUGAGGGACGAAAGCCAGGGUCUCGAACC